GGAGGGGUGGCAGAAUUGGCAAUGCACCGGUCUCGAAAACCGGCGCCCUCACGGGCUUGUGGGUUCGAGUCCCACCCCCUCCG
rnacentral:tRNA from 1 species